GCGAGGUGGAGCAAAUCUCAAAAAACCGUCCCAGUUCGGAUCGCAGGCUGCAACCCGCCUGCGUGAAGUUGGAAUCGCUAGUAAUCGCGGAUCAGCAUGCCGCGGUGAAUACGUUCCCGGGCCUUGUACACACCGCCCGUCACACCAUGAGAGUCGGGAACACCCGAAGUCCGUAGCCUAACCGCAAGGGGGGCGCGGCCGAAGGUGGGUUCGAUAAUUGGGGUGAAGUCGUAACAAGGUAGC
rnacentral:rRNA from 1 species